GACUGCAGAAAGAAAAAAUUCGGUUGGAGAAGGGUUAGAAAAAUUAAUGAGGGCAGGGAUGGAAUUAAUAGAAUUGAGGGUGUAGAAUUGAUUCUAGGAAAGUAAGAAGCUAGGAAUUGUAGCUUCAACUAGAAUUGCUUUUGGAGGAUAAAAGCUAUUUUGAAAAGUCAAACCAAACAUGUUAAAUAUUGCAGAAUUGCUUUUGAAAUGCUCCAGAAUUGAUUCUGGCUUUGCAAAAGCCAAACCAAACAGAGGCUAAGUUA
rnacentral:lncRNA from 1 species